rnacentral:snoRNA from 1 species
AACGAUGAUGAAAAGCUCCGUGACGCAUGGGUCGUCGCAACCUGUCAUCUUCCCAGAUGAUACGAGCACCUCUGAGCUU